UAUAAAAUAAAAUUUAAAUAUUUAUUAAAUUAAAUUAAAAAUUAAAAUAUUAAAGUAAUAAAAAAUUGAGGCUGCCUUUCUUUUAAUUCUAUCCAUCCUUCCGCUUAUCCAUCCUCCAACCAGACAUGGCCUAAGUUACUUGCAUAAUGCAAUGCGGGCAGUAACAGGUCAAACAGGGGCAGGUCUUGUUCGUGGCACACGUUUCUAUUCCGUUCAUUUUGGUCCUCAGAUAGUUCACACUAGGAAAAGCAUAAAGGACACAUGUCAAAUCUUUUCAAAAAGGAGUUGGAGUCUUUUGACUUUUUUUAGGUCUUUAAUUAAUUUCAAACCUUUUUAUUGAAUUUAUGAAUGAUUCCAUAUUAAAACAAUAUUCGACUUCUGAAUUUUUAGGUUAUCUCCUAUCUUUCUAUUUCCAUUGCAUUCAUUACCAAAGAAAACGUUUUUUAUAAGGAAAAAGCAUCUUUUGCCCCUUGCACUAUCAAACGUUUAUAUUUAUGCCUCCGACACUUUUAUUUCUAUAUAUUGGAUCCUUGCACUUUAUUUUUUGUUGACAUUUAACCCUUUUUUAACAGAGUGUGAAAGCGUCAAAUUUUAUUAUUAACUAAGAUUUGAAAUGCUAAAAGCACGUCAAAAGGUUCUUUCACGUCAUAUUCCACGUGUAAGUAAUAUAACAUGUCAUCUUAUCUUUGAGGUUGAACAUUAUAUAUGUAUUCUCCUUUACCAAUUAGGGUUUUUACUGAGCUUUUGAAAAUUCUGCAUUGCUUACUCCUCUUGUGCUUGACGGCUAGGAAAAAUGGAAGGUGAAGGAACUCCAUUUUGCAAGUGUGGCAACCUAGCUCGUUUGGCAACACCCAAGGACGAUUCAAACUUAGGGAAGCAUACAUAUAUAUGUUCACAUGAAAUUAUUAAUAGGUAUGACUUUCAAAUGAAUUACAAUGUCCAGUUUAGUUAUCACCAAGUUCAUUAUAUUAACGCUUUGAGAAAGAAGUUGUCCAAUUUAAGAGAAAAAAGAAAUGAAACAUUGAUACAAGCUAGGGAAGCACAAGCCAUUAGCUCAUGUGCUUUAGAACAAAUGAAGAGUUACAAAACAAAAAAUUUUAGAUUGAGCAAGGAGAUUGAAGCAUUGAAAGCUGAGAAUAUAGCAGCAGAAAAUUUCGGGUUGAGGUUGAAAUUCAGGUGCUGAAGGAGGAAUCUGGACUUCUAUUGAUGGAGAUUGAUACAUUAACAGAGAAGCUCAAAGCAAACAAGGGAAUGAGAUGGGAGGGAGAUUGAUGUUGGUUGAUGUAUCUCUUUUGUAUUUUAAUGAAAUGAAGUUUCUAGUGCUUGUUACUCAUCAAACUUACAACUCCAAACCUAUAACUUUAUGUGAAAAAUAAGAGAUCAAAUAAACUAACAGAAUGUUUACAACCAAAACCAUUAAAAGAUGGCCAUACAGGACACUUGCUUUAGCACAAUUUGAAAAAGAAUAUGGUCAUAAUAGGCACUUGGAUGUACUAAAAAGAUUUGCAUUACUAACAAAAUAGAGCACUUGCCUUAGCACAAUUUAACAAUCUAGUCAUACUUUAUCAAAUCCUAACAAAAUGUACUGAAACAAAACCAACAAAAUAUGGUCAGGCCCUUUUAGGAAAGCAAGUGUGGCGCCUCUUUACUAAGGGUGAGUUAUUGGUGGCCAUGAUUUUCAAAGCCAGGCAUUAACUAAGUUCCUCUUACUUAGAAGCUCGAAUUGGCCAAAACCCCAGUUAGGUGUGGCAGAGCAUUUUGCAAGCCCAGGGUUUGAUUAAGAGUGGAAUAAGGAAGUGUAUUGGCGGUGGAAAUGAAACCAACAUAUGGAAGGAGCCGUGGUUACCAAACAACAUCAAUGGCUUUGUAACUACCACCCGGCUCUUCAUUUACAAGGGGCUAAGGUUAGUUCUCUACUUUGUUUAGAAAAGUCUUGGGAUGUUGAUAUUAUCAAAGGGACAAAAAGCUCAUUUUUCUAUUCCUUUGAGAGUUGACAGUGUCAUAGAUGAUUAGUAUUGGUUUUGGGAGAAGAAAGGUGCUUAUUCAGUAAGAAGUGCGUAUAGGUGCCUUAUGAAUAAAUUUUAUGCUGAACCUCCCCCUCAGCUGAAGAAAAUGUAGACGAAGUUAUGGGCAUUAAAGGUUACCCCAAAGGUGAAAUCUAUAGUGUAUAGGGCGUGUCGUGGUUGUCCACCCAUUGUUGAUAACCUUAGGAUACGAAAAAUUAAAUGUGUCAAAUUGCAGCCUAAUGUGUAAUGAGACGGGAGAAUCAGUGGCUCGGUCUUUUGGAGUGUCCUUUUGCUCGUAGAUGUUGGGAAGCAUCACCAGUUGGCUUUGUGGCGGAUGGAGCUAAUUCUAUUUGUGCUUGGUUAAUUAAUAUAAUGAGCAUAUGUUCGCUUGAGGAUACUUGUUUUGCCGCUGUUCUAAUAUGGGCAAUUUGGUCUAACAGAAACCAGAUUGUUCGGUCUUCUCAUCAGAAACGCUUGUGCAAAUUGUUCAGGGGGCUAGUGUUUUUUUGAAUCAAUUGAAUUUGGCUAACCAACUACAGCCAACGCAAGUUCAGCGUGUGCAGGAUAGAGAGGUUCAGAACUGGCAAAGAUUUGAAGCUGGCUGUAUAGCAUGUAGUAUUAGUGCUGUUGUUUCUCCUCUACUGGUAAAGUGGGUUUAGGCUUCAUCGUUCGGGAUGAUGCUGGUAUGAUCUUAGCUGCAAGGAAUUCUCAGGUGGAAGAUGACCAUGUGACUCCAGCUGCGGUGGAGGCAAUGGGGCUUAGAGAGGCUAUGUCCUGGUUAAGGUAGAAGAAUGUCAGCAGAGUUCAAGUGCAAAUGGAAUCGCUACUAAGAAACGAAAACUCAAUCAAUGGUCAUUUGUUUAAGACCAGAAUCAAGGCUCCCCGUUGUCGAAAGAAGAAAAAUCAAAGCUUCAAAAUAUCGAUUACCAAAAUUUGUCUCUCUUCACUAUAUUUUCUCUCUCCUCCCUACGUCUCAUCAUCCAAAGCCAACAAAAAACGAUUAGCUUCUUUCUUUUCUUUCCAACAAUGCCAACUAUGUCCUUUAACUCCUUUCAUACUGAAUUCUGCCAUUCUUAUCAAAAGAAAAGGAAAUUAAUGCUCUUCAUUUUGUUUGUUCAAUGGCAGAUGAAGAUGACAAUUCCUUUGGCAAA